rnacentral:rRNA from 1 species
AUCGAACGCUGGCGGCAGGCCUAACACAUGCAAGUCGAACGGUAGCACAGAGAGCUUGCUCUCGGGUGACGAGUGGCGGACGGGUGAGUAACGUCUGGGAAACUGCCCGAUGGAGGGGGAUAACUACUGGAAACGGUAGCUAAUACCGCAUAACGUCGCAAGACCAAAGUGGGGGACCUUCGGGCCUCACACCAUCGGAUGUGCCCAGAUGGGAUUAGCUAGUAGGUGGGGUAAUGGCUCACCUAGGCGACGAUCCCUAGCUGGUCUGAGAGGAUGACCAGCCACACUGGAACUGAGACACGGUCCAGACUCCUACGGGAGGCAGCAGUGGGGAAUAUUGCACAAUGGGCGCAAGCCUGAUGAAGCCAUGCCGCGUGUACGAAGAAGGCCUUCGGGUUGUAAAGUACUUUCAGCGGGGAGGAAGGCGGUGAAGUUAAUAACUUCACCGAUUGACGUUACCCGCAGAAGAAGCACCGGCUAACUCCGUGCCAGCAGCCGCCGUAA